rnacentral:rRNA from 1 species
UACGGAGGGAGCUAGCGUUGUUCGGAAUUACUGGGCGUAAAGCGCGCGUAGGCGGCUUUGUAAGUUAGAGGUGAAAGCCCGGAGCUCAACUCCGGAACUGCCUUUAAGACUGCAUCGCUUGAAUCCGGGAGAGGAGAACGGAAUUCCCAGUGUAGCGGUGAAAUGCGCAGAUAUUGGGAAGAACACCAGUGGCGAAGGCGGUUCUCUGGGACGGUACUGACGCUGAGACGCGAAAGCGUGGGGAGCGAACAGG